GUUAAGCGACUAAGCGUACACGGUGGAUGCCCUGGCAGUCAGAGGCGAUGAAGGACGUGCUAAUCUGCGAUAAGCGUCGGUAAGGUGAUAUGAACCGUUAUAACCGGCGAUUUCCGAAUGGGGAAACCCAGUGUGUUUCGACACACUAUCAUUAACUGAAUCCAUAGGUUAAUGAGGCGAACCGGGGGAACUGAAACAUCUAAGUACCCCGAGGAAAAGAAAUCAACCGAGAUUCCCCCAGUAGCGGCGAGCGAACGGGGAGCAGCCCAGAGCCUGAAUCAGUGUGUGUGUUAGUGGAAGCGUCUGGAAAGGCGCGCGAUACAGGGUGACAGCCCCGUACACAAAAAUGCACAUGCUGUGAGCUCGAUGAGUAGGGCGGGACACGUGGUAUCCUGUCUGAAUAUGGGGGGACCAUCCUCCAAGGCUAAAUACUCCUGACUGACCGAUAGUGAACCAGUACCGUGAGGGAAAGGCGAAAAGAACCCCGGCGAGGGGAGUGAAAAAGAACCUGAAACCGUGUACGUACAAGCAGUGGGAGCACGCUUCGGCGUGUGACUGCGUACCUUUUGUAUAAUGGGUCAGCGACUUAUAUUCUGUAGCAAGGUUAACCGAAUAGGGGAGCCGAAGGGAAACCGAGUCUUAACUGGGCGUUAAGUUGCAGGGUAUAGACCCGAAACCCGGUGAUCUAGCCAUGGGCAGGUUGAAGGUUGGGUAACACUAACUGGAGGACCGAACCGACUAAUGUUGAAAAAUUAGCGGAUGACUUGUGGCUGGGGGUGAAAGGCCAAUCAAACCGGGAGAUAGCUGGUUCUCCCCGAAAGCUAUUUAGGUAGCGCCUCGUGAAUUCAUCUCCGGGGGUAGAGCACUGUUUCGGCAAGGGGGUCAUCCCGACUUACCAACCCGAUGCAAACUGCGAAUACCGGAGAAUGUUAUCACGGGAGACACACGGCGGGUGCUAACGUCCGUCGUGAAGAGGGAAACAACCCAGACCGCCAGCUAAGGUCCCAAAGUCAUGGUUAAGUGGGAAACGAUGUGGGAAGGCCCAGACAGCCAGGAUGUUGGCUUAGAAGCAGCCAUCAUUUAAAGAAAGCGUAAUAGCUCACUGGUCGAGUCGGCCUGCGCGGAAGAUGUAACGGGGCUAAACCAUGCAC
rnacentral:rRNA from 1 species